CCUACGGGAGGCAGCAGUGGGGAAUAUUGCACAAUGGGCGCAAGCCUGAUGCAGCGACGCCGCGUGAGGGAUGACGGCCUUCGGGUUGUAAACCUCUUUCAGUAGGGAAGAAGCGUAAGUGACGGUACCUGCAGAAGAAGCGCCGGCUAACUACGUGCCAGCAGCCGCGGUAAUACGUAGGGCGCAAGCGUUAUCCGGAAUUAUUGGGCGUAAAGAGCUCGUAGGCGGUUUGUCGCGUCUGCCGUGAAAGUCCGGGGCUCAACUCCGGAUCUGCGGUGGGUACGGGCAGACUAGAGUGAUGUAGGGGAGACUGGAAUUCCUGGUGUAGCGGUGAAAUGCGCAGAUAUCAGGAGGAACACCGAUGGCGAAGGCAGGUCUCUGGGCAUUAACUGACGCUGAGGAGCGAAAGCAUGGGGAGCGAACAGGAUUAGAUACCCUGUAGUCCAUGCGUAAACGUUGGGCACUAGGUGUGGGGGACAUUCCACGUUUUCCGCGCCGUAGCUAACGCAUUAAGUGCCCGCCUGGGGAGUACGGCCGCAAGGCUAAAACUCAAAUUGAAUUGACGG
rnacentral:rRNA from 1 species